GAAUGCUGACAUAAGUAACGAUAAAGCGGGUGAAAAGCCCGCUCGCCGGAAGACCAAGGGUUCCUGUCCAACGUUAAUCGGGGCAGGGUGAGUCGACCCCUAAGGCGAGGCCGAAAGGCGUAGUCGAUGGGAAACGGGUUAAUAUUCCCGUACUUGGUGUUACUGCGAAGGGGGGACGGAGAAGGCUAUGUUGGCCGGGCGACGGUUGUCCCGGUUUAAGCGUGUAGGUGUGUGUUCCAGGUAAAUCCGGUUCACUUUAACACUGAGGCGUGAUGACGAGGCACUACGGUGCUGAAGCAACAAAUGCCCUGCUUCCAGGAAAAGCCUCUAAGCAUCAGGUAACAUCAAAUCGUACCCCAAACCGACACAGGUGGUCAGGUAGAGAAUACCAAGGCGCUUGAGAGAACUCGGGUGAAGGAACUAGGCAAAAUGGUGCCGUAACUUCGGGAGAAGGCACGCUGACACGUAGGUGAAGUGAUUUACUCACGGAGCUGAAGUCAGUCGAAGAUACCAG
rnacentral:rRNA from 1 species